ACCAUAUCAACCCACAUCGAUUCCCAUUGAAAGCCGAUGUGAGAUCAACUCCCAUAAAUUGAUAUGGAAUCGUAACAUACCAGUGGAGGGCUAGGGCUGGAAAAGGUGUUGAUCUGUGUACCUUAAUGAAAAUAAAGUUUAUUUUAAUGGUUUUACGCUGUCAACCUGUUGCAUUGUAGAAGCUUUGUUGUCACAGGAUUCUUGUGAAACUUCUUAUGGCAGGUCCAGAUGCCUGUAUUGAAGAUACAUGCAUUUCAGGAGGCAUGUGUGUUCUCUGUUAUCGAAGAACUUGCUGAACACAGAGCUAUUCCAUUGCUUUUUUUGAGUUGGCAUUUAUUCCAACUGUACACGAUUAUGAAGAUUUUGCAAAACAACCAAAAUUAAGAGGUUUCAGCGAGAAAUGAGAGCUUAUUUCUCAGGUUAUUGUUGGAGCACACUCAUCUGUCUUCAGCCAUAAGAAAUAAGAUUCUGAUGAUGAGGACGAUGUUCAGGAUGAACAAGGCACCUGGUUACCAGGAAGCAAUACCAAGAGUGAAAAUCCCAAGCAGGAGAAGUCAAAGAAAAGGAAGAGACAAUGGAAACAGCAAGAAGAGGUGGCUUUAGAUGAGGAUGUUGUGGAGGAUUUGGUAUUAGGUGCAGAUGAAGAUUUGAUGAGUAACAUCCCAUCUGUAGAGGAAGAGGAUAAAUCAAGAUUGGUGUCUUCAAAACAGGGGACACAGAAGCAGUUAUCUUUUGAGGAUUCAUCAAAAAAUAAAGGACACUCCCAUGGCAAGAAGCCAAAGAAGAGGAAGAGAACUAAACAGGAAAAGUAGCAGGUAGUGCACUAGCUUAACAGUGAGGAAACCAACCUUACUGUUCUUCCUAAUCUCUUUGAUGUUCUAGGCUUCUAGCUCUAUUAGAAACUAUAUGAACAGGCUCUCUAACUGUGAUUUAUUAAUUUUCUUAAUACAUACAAAAAUCCAACUGUUCUAACAGGAA